AUUGAACGCUGGCGGCAGGCCUAACACAUGCAAGUCGAGCGGCAGCGGGUCCUUCGGGAUGCCGGCGAGCGGCGGACGGGUGAGUAAUGCCUAGGAAUCUGCCUGGUAGUGGGGGAUAACGUUCGGAAACGGACGCUAAUACCGCAUACGUCCUACGGGAGAAAGUGGGGGAUCUUCGGACCUCACGCUAUCAGAUGAGCCUAGGUCGGAUUAGCUAGUUGGUGGGGUAAAGGCUCACCAAGGCGACGAUCCGUAACUGGUCUGAGAGGAUGAUCAGUCACACUGGAACUGAGACACGGUCCAGACUCCUACGGGAGGCAGCAGUGGGGAAUAUUGGACAAUGGGCGAAAGCCUGAUCCAGCCAUGCCGCGUGUGUGAAGAAGGUCUUCGGAUUGUAAAGCACUUUAAGUUGGGAGGAAGGGCAGUAAGUUAAUACCUUGCUGUUUUGACGUUACCAACAGAAUAAGCACCGGCUAACUUCGUGCCAGCCGCCGCCGUAA
rnacentral:rRNA from 1 species